UAAGACGAAGGGGGCUAGCGUUGUUCGGAAUUACUGGGCGUAAAGCGCGUGUAGGCGGUUGCCCAAGUCGGGUGUGAAAGCCUUGAGCUCAACUCAAGAAAUGCACUCGGUACUGGGUGACUAGAGGACCGGAGAGGAUAGUGGAAUUCCCAGUGUAGUGGUGAAAUACGUAGAGAUUGGGAAGAACACCAGUGGCGAAGGCGGCUAUCUGGACGGUUUCUGACGCUAAGACGCGAAAGCGUGGGGAGCAAACAGGA
rnacentral:rRNA from 1 species